AGGGAGUAAGGCAUGGGAUGGGGAGGAAGACUUGGCACCCAGGGCCCUUCCUCGCAAAGAGAGAGCGCAGAUGGCCCUGACAGCUGGGGACGAGGAACCGCAAGCCAUGGAAGAGAUUGCUGCUGAAGACAGAUUAUCAAUUUUCCCUGGAAAAUAUUGCCUGAGCGAGAAGUAGUGGAAGUUUAGGCAACUCUACUACGUGAAAAAUACACACAGAACUUCACAGCCAGCGUCUCAAGCUGCGAGCAGAUUGCGAGGGCGAGAAUGCAGAAAAGAAGAGAACCUGGAAGGAUGACAAUUAUACGUAUGGCCGCCCCGAAGAAAACAUCUGAGGACGCCUGUCUGCAGCAUCAAAAUUAAAAUCACAGGAACCCAUCUGCCAGUGCCUCUGACUCAGGGUUCAGACUCUUCAACGUCUGACAAGGUGAAGGGGGAAAAAAAGUUCGGGGAAUUCCGUAUCAUGUUAACUCUUGAUGGUGUCAGUGCUGGGUCCUGCUGUGGAGUUCAAAGAGGCUGGAUCCCCUCUCUGCCUGCCUCAGUGUAUCCAUAGGUGGCGCUUGUUGAUUUUGGCUAAGCCAGUUUCAAUGAGGCUGUUGUAGCAAUGAAGCUCUGACCUUGCAAAAAAGGACAACGUUUUAGGAAACGGCAGAACAACAAAAUGCAGGGAACUGGAUCCCUGAUCGACUCUGUGGAAAGAGUGGAACCACUUAUACAGACUAGCAUGACUGUCAUGUGGGCAGGAAAUAAAGUCCAGCAUGCAUAGUCUGUAAUGCCAAGGCAUCUCCUUAUUAUAGAUGUGGAGUCUCUACUUUAUAUAUUUAGAAUCUUCCCAGUUUUUUUUUUUUUCUUCUUACACCAGCUCCUUCAGUCUCCUUCAGUUCUGUGUACUCCUGAUUUGCUUCCAGUAAAUUAUAUUUU